CCGGGCCUUCCAACGGCGCGCGUUGCCUGUGAAAUCUACCCGGUCCCUUGGGAAUCGGACGCGACCCACUCGCCAGUCCGCCCCCCCCCGGCCUCGUCGUGCGAGGGGCGGCCGCGGCGCGGGCGUCGCGCGCCCCCGGACAAAGCGAGCCGUCAGGCCCCCGUCCCGGUCGGGCUCCCGACGUCCCGCGAGCGCUUUCGGAUGCGGCACAUGCCGCGGGCUUCGGGGAGUUCGCUCCCCGACCCGGACCUCGGUCGGUCGUCGAGCCGCCCUCGUCGAGACGACGGCCGGCCCGUCGUCGGGCCCCUUCCCCCCCCCGCGGGUGGGCGGGCGCCC
rnacentral:misc_RNA from 1 species